rnacentral:rRNA from 1 species
GAAUUCGCCCUUAGAGUUUGAUCCUGGCUCAGGACGAACGCUGGCGGCGUGCUUAACACAUGCAAGUCGAACGAAGCUUGAUUUAUGAUUUCUUCGGAAUGAAUAAUGAUAUGACUGAGUGGCGGACGGGUGAGUAACGCGUGAGCAACCUGCCCUUCGGAGGGGGAUAGCGUCUGGAAACGGACGGUAAUACCGCAUAAAGUGUCUUGACCGCAUGAUCGAGAUACCAAAACUGAGGUGCCGAAGGAUGGGCUCGCGUUGGAUUAGAUAGUUGGUGGGGUAACGGCCUACCAAGUCGACGAUCCAUAGCCGGACUGAGAGGUUGAUCGGCCACAUUGGGACUGAGACACGGCCCAGACUCCUACGGGAGGCAGCAGUGGGGAAUAUUGCACAAUGGGGGAAACCCUGAUGCAGCAACGCCGCGUGAAGGAAGACGGUUUUCGGAUUGUAAACUUCUGUUCUUAGUGAAGAAUAAUGACGGUAGCUAAGGAGCAAGCCACGGCUAACUACGUGCCAGCAGCCGCGGUAAUACGUAGGUGGCAAGCGUUGUCCGGAAUUACUGGGUGUAAAGGGAGCGCAGGCGGGAAGCCAAGUCAGCUGUGAAAACUACAGGCUUAACUUGUAGACUGCAGUUGAAACUGGUUUUCUUGAGUGAAGUAGAGGUUGGCGGAAUUCCGAGUGUAGCGGUGAAAUGCGUAGAUAUUCGGAGGAACACCGGUGGCGAAGGCGGCCAACUGGGCUUUAACUGACGCUGAGGCUCGAAAGUGUGGGGAGCAAACAGGAUUAGAUACCCUGGUAGUCCACACUGUAAACGAUGAUUGCUAGGUGCGGGGGGUCUGACCCCUUCCGGGCCGCAGCUAACGCAAUAAGCAAUCCACCUGGGGAGUACGACCGCAAGGUUGAAACUCAAAGGAAUUGACGGGGACCCCGCACAAGCAGUGGAUUAUGUGUUUUAAUUCGAAGCAACGCGAAGAACCUUACCAGCACUUGACAUCCAACUAACGAAAUAGAGAUAUAUAAGGUGCCUUUCGGGGAAAGUUGAGACAGGUGGUGCAUGGUUGUCGUCAGCUCGUGUCGUGAGAUGUUGGGUUAAGUCCCGCAACGAGCGCAACCCCUGCCAUUAGUUGCUACGCAAGAGCACUCUAAUGGGACCGCUACCGACAAGGUGGAGGAAGGUGGGGAUGACGUCAAAUCAUCAUGCCCCUUAUGUGCUGGGCUACACACGUAAUACAAUGGCCGUUAACAAAGGGAAGCGAUCCCGCGAGGAGGAGCAAAACCCAAAAAACGGUCUCAGUUCGGAUUGUAGUCUGCAACUCGACUACAUGAAGCUGGAAUCGCUAGUAAUCGCAGAUCAGAAUGCUGCGGUGAAUACGUUCCCGGGUCUUGCACACACCGCCCGUCA